UUUCCUUCUAAUCAUGCUGAGCAUUGUACAGAAUGUAUCCCUAGUCUCUAUUUUUAGUUUGUGUCCUGGAAAAGGUAGACUUCCUGUGUUGAGAGGUACUAAAAUAGACACUUGAAACUUAAAUGUUUUUCAUGUAAGAGAAUGUAUGCUCUGGCUUAGUUAUGGCCAUCUGAUACAGUUGAAACUUGUAGAGCAACAUCAAUUGUCAAAUACUUCUGACAUCUUGGCAGCAGGUAGGCUAGCUGAAUAAAAAGCUUGAGCUUCUUCGUGGAUGUGUAAUUUAUUGUCAUCUUUUCUUCUUUAGUCCUGCCAAAUAUAUGACACCCAUAAAAACAUAUGCCUUUGGCAGUCUGUGGCACAUUCCUGCUUCUCAGCAACUUGAUAGGCUGUGGGAAACAGCUUCACUUCAGCAGGAUGGCUGUGGUGCGAGUUCAGUGCCUGCCAUACAGCUGACAUCUAAGAGCAGGUGUAGAAUUUGGGGCUCGAAUGAUCACUAUUGAUGGAAACAGAUAAAGCUUCAGAUAUGGGAUACGGUAAAGUAAUAAAAACAAAAUCAUUUUAAACACAUCUCCUCUAGCUUUUGUCAUUCUGUUUAAGCUCCACAUGUUCUAUGCCAUGUUAGCCUAAGUCUUGCAGCUUUCUGUGACUUCUCUGAACAUUAAAAUUUGCUAAAAAAAAAAAUUCUUUUUUGAUGUGAUGUGCUCUUAAACUUUGCAAAUUGCUGCUGUUUACACCAUAAUAUGACUUCCACAGGCAAUGCUUUCUCAGA
rnacentral:lncRNA from 1 species